CGGACCGAUCGGCGGAUCGUCGCGCGUAAUAAUUUCCGAAUUUUCACAGUGUACGCGCGUGUGUAACAUGUAAUAUUCGUGCGUGUGUGUGUGUGUGUGUGCGUGCGUGUGCGCGUGACGAUCUGGAGCAUCUCGAGCAAUAGCAGUGUUUCAUGGUCUUUAAAGAUCUGCUGGAGUUUGCGGCCACGCGAUAGCUGCCGGUUACCGGGACGCUGUUUCGACGGACGCCGAUGCCGCGCCGGAGGGUCCGGUUCGGGCCGAGCAGAGUCGGCUUCAAGAUCCGCAGCAGAACGCGGCUGACUCUGUCUGCUGUGUAUCGGGUGAG